rnacentral:rRNA from 2 species
CACUAUCAUUAACUGAAUCCAUAGGUUAAUGAGGCGAACCGGGGGAACUGAAACAUCUAAGUACCCCGAGGAAAAGAAAUCAACCGAGAUUCCCCCAGUAGCGGCGAGCGAACGGGGAGGAGCCCAGAGCCUGAAUCAGUGUGUGUGUUAGUGGAAGCGUCUGGAAAGGCGCGCGAUACAGGGUGACAGCCCCGUACACAAAAAUGCACAUAUUGUGAGCUCGAUGAGUAGGGCGGGACACGUGGUAUCCUGUCUGAAUAUGGGGGGACCAUCCUCCAAGGCUAAAUACUCCUGACUGACCGAUAGUGAACCAGUACCGUGAGGGAAAGGCGAAAAGAACCCCGGCGAGGGGAGUGAAAAAGAACCUGAAACCGUGUACGUACAAGCAGUGGGAGCCUCUUAAUGGGGUGACUGCGUACCUUUUGUAUAAUGGGUCAGCGACUUAUAUUCUGUAGCAAGGUUAACCGAAUAGGGGAGCCGAAGGGAAACCGAGUCUUAACUGGGCGUUAAGUUGCAGGGUAUAGACCCGAAACCCGGUGAUCUAGCCAUGGGCAGGUUGAAGGUUGGGUAACACUAACUGGAGGACCGAACCGACUAAUGUUGAAAAAUUAGCGGAUGACUUGUGGCUGGGGGUGAAAGGCCAAUCAAACCGGGAGAUAGCUGGUUCUCCCCGAAAGCUAUUUAGGUAGCGCCUCGUGAAUUCAUCUCCGGGGGUAGAGCACUGUUUCGGCAAGGGGGUCAUCCCGACUUACCAACCCGAUGCAAACUGCGAAUACCGGAGAAUGUUAUCACGGGAGACACACGGCGGGUGCUAACGUCCGUCGUGAAGAGGGAAACAACCCAGACCGCCAGCUAAGGUCCCAAAGUCAUGGUUAAGUGGGAAACGAUGUGGGAAGGCCCAGACAGCCAGGAUGUUGGCUUAGAAGCAGCCAUCAUUUAAAGAAAGCGUAAUAGCUCACUGGUCGAGUCGGCCUGCGCGGAAGAUGUAACGGGGCUAAACCAUGCACCGAAGCUGCGGCAGCGACACUAUGUGUUGUUGGGUAGGGGAGCG